rnacentral:sRNA from 1 species
CUAGGGGAAGGCAUUAUUAAACUUCAAACAAAGGGGUAGCUAUAAUAGUGUUAUAGCAUGAUUGAGUUUGUACUUGUGCUAAAUUCUAGUUUUAACAUCUUCAAUAUUUAUUACUUACUUUCCUUUCUAGCCGACUAGUAGUAUCUAGUCGGUUUUUUU